GUAUUGUUGAAGAGUCCCACAAUAGGACGAAACGGCUGUCCAGUAC
rnacentral:hammerhead_ribozyme from 1 species